AUAAAAUGAACGCUGGCGGCAUGCUCACACAUGUCAGUCGAACGGCAGCACGGACUUCGGUCUGGUGGCGAGUGGCGAACGGGUAAUAUAUCGGAACGUGCCCUGGAGUGGGGGAUAACUAGUCGAAAGACUAGCUAAUACCGCAUACGAUCUAUGGAUGAAAGUGGGGGAUCGCAAGACCUCAUGCUCGUGGAGCGGCCGAUAUCUGAUUAGCUAGUUGGUGGGGUAAAAGCCUACCAAGGCAUCGAUCAGUAGCUGGUCUGAGAGGACGACCGGCCACACUGGGACUGAGACACGGACCAGACUCCUACGGGAGGCAGCAGUGGGGAAUUUUGGACAAAUGGGGGCAACCCGUGAUCCAGACAAUGCCGACGUGAUGUGAAG
rnacentral:rRNA from 1 species